UGUAUAAUGGGUCAGCGACUUAUAUUCUGUAGCAAGGUUAACCGAAUAGGGGAGCCGAAGGGAAACCGAGUCUUAACUGGGCGUUAAGUUGCAGGGUAUAGACCCGAAACCCGGUGAUCUAGCCAUGGGCAGGUUGAAGGUUGGGUAACACUAACUGGAGGACCGAACCGACUAAUGUUGAAAAAUUAGCGGAUGACUUGUGGCUGGGGGUGAAAGGCCAAUCAAACCGGGAGAUAGCUGGUUCUCCCCGAAAGCUAUUUAGGUAGCGCCUCGUGAAUUCAUCUCCGGGGGUAGAGCACUGUUUCGGCAAGGGGGUCAUCCCGACUUACCAACCCGAUGCAAACUGCGAAUACCGGAGAAUGUUAUCACGGGAGACACACGGCGGGUGCUAACGUCCGUCGUGAAGAGGGAAACAACCCAGACCGCCAGCUAAGGUCCCAAAGUCAUGGUUAAGUGGGAAACGAUGUGGGAAGGCCCAGACAGCCAGGAUGUUGGCUUAGAAGCAGCCAUCAUUUAAAGAAAGCGUAAUAGCUCACUGGUCGAGUCGGCCUGCGCGGAAGAUGUAACGGGGCUAAACCAUGCACCGAAGCUGCGGCAGCGACACUAUGUGUUGUUGGGUAGGGGAGCGUUCUGUAAGCCUGUGAAGGUGG
rnacentral:rRNA from 1 species